ensembl:lncRNA
GAUUUGGACGAGGAUGACCUUCCCGUCCCUGAUACUGGAUGAUGAUGCGCCCACUGCCCCGUGCUCCACCAGGACCGGAGGCCACCUUAAUGCUUGAUCCAGGGCCAGGUAAAGUUCCUGUAGCAGCCGCUGCUCCUCCGUCAGCUCUCCCAGAGGUCGUAGAGCCGCCACCUCAGCAGACUCUGAUCCUGGCUGCAGAAGCCUCUGGCCAACACUUCCAGAAUCUGGCUCCAGCUGAACUGCCCAAGCUAUACCCACCUCUCCCGGACAGAAUCUCAGGACUGCACUGCCUGCUCACAGGUCAGUGCUACCUCUUGGCACAGACAGAAACCUCCAGGGAUUCAGCUGAAAGGCACGCUGCCCUUUGAACACCUGGAAGUGGACUUCACUGAAAUGAAACCUCACCAACACUACCGUCACCUGCUGGUCACGGUAUGUACGUUCUCAGGAUGGGUAGAACCUUUUCCUCCCGGACUGAAAGAGCAUCAGAAGUAGGCUGGUGCCUGCUUAGGGAAAUAGUUCCCAGAUUUGGAUUUCCUACCAGCAUUGGAUCAGACAAUGGCCCGGCUUUCGUAGCUGAUUUAGUAUAACAGAUAAGCAAUGUCAAGUGGAAAUUACAUACAGCAUAUAGGCCCCAGAGUUCUGGGAUGGUGGAAGGAACCAACCGGACACUUAAAGAGACACUCUCCAAAUGGAUCAUAGAGACUGACUGCUCCUGGGUGGACUUGCUUCCGACGGCUCUGCUCAGACUCAGGAUGACUCCAUGGUCCCAUGGCUAUUCUCCGUACGAAAUUGUGUAUAUGGGGCCACCUCCCAUUAUAAAACAGGUGUCAACAAAUUUGCCUCAGGUAAGUGGGGGAUAGGAUUUCACAGCAGAUGGAACUGGGUAAGGUGAUAAAUCCGGUAACUAAGUUUGUACAAGAAAGAGUGCUGUUCCCCCUUGGGAAACAGAUUCAUGAGUUUAUGCUUGGUGACCAAGUAUGGGUCAAAGAUUGGAAACAUGAUUUACUAGCACCUUGGUGGAAGGGCCCUUAUACUGUUAAUCUAACAACCCCUACUUCAGUUAAAGUUGCAGGUAUUGCCCCUUGGAUCCAUCAUAUGAGGGUGAAGAGAGCAUACCACGCAGACCCAGAAAAUGCUGAGUGGACUGCACAGAGGGACCCCGCUGACCCUUGAGAGACUAAGAUCAUCCUUAAGAAGAAGAGGAAAAAGAAGAUCCUGGAUGAGCUCCUUCAGGAUGAAGUCACAUAAGCAACUCCUGCUGCUUGGUCUCAUCAGUGUGCACAUUCCUGUGUGGACUUCCACUCUACCUCCAACUGCUGGGUAUGUGGGGCUAUGCGUCUGUCUGUGACGGAUGGACUUCCCUGGUGGGUGUCACCACUCCGCCAAGGAGAUUUUAAACCACUCUUCUCUUUCCUAGGACAACAAAAAGAGACUUUACUUUCUCUUGACAAUCAUAAUCUCUCCCUGCUCUCUUGGUAUAAGCCAGACCUAGUCAAUAGAUUCGGGUCAUGGGGUUACAUAUUAUGUAAACACCAAUUUCAUAAAAGUAACAGAUGCGGUAAUUCAAAUUAGAAUGGUUUUGGACAUGCUCACAGCUGCUUAAGCAGGGACCUGUGCUAUAAUUAAGGUUGAAUAUUGUGUAUAUAUUCCUGAUUUAUCUGGCAAUGUAUCAGCUGCUUUAGAUGACGUGAGAAACCAGGUAAAAGCAAUGUCAAAUGAAAACAUUCCUUUCUGAACUUGAGUACUAUCUUGGGUGAAGGGUGAUUGGUGGAAUAUAUAGUUGCCUUGAUAGUUCUGCUCUGUGGACCCUGCAUUUUACAAUGUAUUAUGAACUUUGUAACCCAAAGGUUGGUGUCGUUCUCCCAAAUGGGUGGUUGGAGAGGCAGGGUGCAAUAUAUCCCUAUGAAUGAUGCUCAUACUAUGACUUAAGAGCAACAAGAGGCGGGAAUGAAGGAGGAAACAGAACAGGCUGUAUCUUGAAAGCAGGACUCCAUCUUGGGCUGGACUGUGGACUUUGAGCUAUAUGCCCACUAUCUAUGGAAACAAUAUACCAACUGGAAAACCAGGCCCCCAGAAGGAAGAGCUAAAAGAAUACCCUAAUUAUCUGUGUAACCGAAGCAUUCUAUUAUGCUUACUGGGGUAUGACCACAGGCCUGUUGAUAAUUGUCCACUGUUAACUACCUAGGCUUAAGGCAUAUGAAUCAUGGGUUAACUUUGAUUGCCAGGGAAUUUGGGGAGGUAGGUUUGUGCACGUACACUUAGGGUAUAUAAGGUUUUCACAAAAACUGUUUGGGGUCCUUGGCUAAGAGGAGACUGCCUUGGGCCUGCUGGUGUAACAAGCUGCACUCCACUAUCUGCAUUGUCCUUCUCAGUGAGUGUGUUUCCUGGAACGCAUGGCUACAACAGUUUAUGUAGGGAGGAAAAAGGCCCUAAAAGACAAAUUCCUAUUACCUAAUAAUUUUCUUUCUCAUAACGUAUGUAGCCACUGGAGAGAGAAUUCUGGAAUAACUGAGAUGACUUAGGUUCUAGUCUGAGACGUACUAGAUCUGUGACCUUCAAAAGUCACCUAGAUCUCUCAUCUGUAGAAUGAUGAGGUGAUGUCAUCUGUUUGCCUUUUUUGCCUCAAAGUAUUAUCAGGAACAACUAAGAUAGAAAGUUUUAAAGUGCUUUCUAAACUGUGAUUCUCUGUGAACGUGUAAUGUGUUAUAUCAUGUUUUUGCUAGUAUUGCCUCCAUUUGUUCAUCAAUCCAUUCAUUUGCUGCUUUUUAAAUUAAAGUAUAGUUGAUUUACAAUGUUAUGCCAAUCUCUGCUGUAUGGCAAAGUGACUCAGUUAUACACAUAUAUCUGUCAUCUCUGUUAGUUGCUCAGUCGUGUCUGACUCUUUGUGACCCCGUGAACUGUAGCCCACCAGGCUUCUCUGUCUGUGAAAUUUCCCAGGCAAGAAUACUGGAGUGGGUUGCCAUUUCCUUCUCCAGGGAUCUUCCUAACCCAUGAAUCAAACCCAGGUCUCCCAUAUUGCAGGCAGAUUGUUAAAUGUUUGUGCCAUCACCUGCUUCAUACACAUAUAUUCAUUCUUUUUUUAUAUUCUCUAUCAAUCCAUUCAUUUGCUUAUCUGUUUUAUCAUCCAACCAUCCAUUAAUUCAAUAGACUGAGAAUGAACUAUGCCAAGCUCUGUGCGUUGUGCUUGUCUGUAAGGGCCACCAUGGUGAGGGAGGAAGACUAUACAGCUGAGUCUUGAACCACAUGGGUUUGAACUGCACAGGUCCACAUAUGUGUGAAUUUUUUUCAAUAGUAAGUACAAUAAUAUAUGAUCUGUGGUUGGUUAGAUCUGAGGAUUUGGAACCAUGGAUACAGAGGGCUAGCUAUGGGACACGAGUAUGUGGGGAUGUGGGUAUCCGGGGUGGAUCUUGGAACCAAUGCUCCAUGGAUACGGUGACCUCAUUUGUGCCACACAACCAGUACAUGAUUCUCUCAUAGUACUAAUAUCACAUUUUAUAGCACUUAAUUGUAUUGGUAUUAUGAUAGAAUCAGUGGACUUCCCUGGUGGCUCAGAUGGUCAAGAAUCUGCCUGUCAAUGCAGGAGACCCGAGUUCAAUCACUGGGUCGGGAAGAUACCCUGGAGAAGGGAAUGGCAACCCACUCCAGUAUUCUUGCCUGGAAAACCCCAUGGACAAAGGAGCCUGGUGGGCUACGGUCCAUAGGGUCACAAAGAGUCAGACACAACAGAGUGAGUUUCACUUCAUUAUGAUACAAUCAUGUACUGGUUCUGGGGCACAGCGUAGGUCAUGGUGAAGAUGUCAGGAAGGGCUUGAAAGAGAAGUUAAACAUGCUAUGAUUUGUAAAUUUUGGAUAGGUAUUUAGCAGGCAAAUGAGGGUGUAGGAGAGAACAUUUUUAGUAGAGAUAGCAGCGUAAACAGAGGCACAAAACCAGGAGAUGUUUUCAUGUGCUUUGGGAAUUCCGAGUUGUUUGGUGUAUUUGGAGAGGUGAAUCUGGAGUGUGUGGAAAUGGUCCAUGAAGUGCUUGGUACAUCACUUUCAGGUGCUGAAUCUUCAUGUUGAGGACAGCGGAGCCACCGAGGGUGUUUAAUCAAGGAGUGGUAUGAAGAGAUUUGCCUUUGAGUUAGAAUUCUCUGGCAGCAGUGUGGAGGGUGCAUUGGAAGAGGGCAGGGCUAGAGGCAGGAAGACCAGUUAGAAAGUUGUUAUAAUAGUUCUAGGGGAGGGUGUGGAAUUACAGAUUUAAACCCCACAUGAGUGACGACUUUGCAGUCAUUUCAGUGGAGGCUCUCAGGAUGGGAGGAGUGUUUUAGACAGACUCC